rnacentral:rRNA from 1 species
GAUGAACGCUGGCGGCGUGCCUAAUACAUGCAAGUCGAGCGAACAGACGAGGAGCUUGCUCCUCUGACGUUAGCGGCGGACGGGUGAGUAACACGUGGAUAACCUACCUAUAAGACUGGGAUAACUUCGGGAAACCGGAGCUAAUACCGGAUAAUAUAUUGAACCGCAUGGUUCAAUAGUGAAAGACGGUUUUGCUGUCACUUCUAGAUGGAUCCGCGCCGCAUUAGCUAGUUGGUAAGGUAACGGCUUACCACGGCAACGAUGCGUAGCCGACCUGAGAGGGUGAUCGGCCACACUGGAACUGGAACACGGUCCAGACUCCUACGGGAGGCAGCAGUAGGGAAUCUUCCGCAAUGGGCGAAAGCCUGACGGAGCAACGGCGCGUGAGUGAUGAGGGUCUUCGGAUCGUAAAACUCUGUUAUUAGGGAAGAACAAAUGUGUAAGUAACUAUGCACGUCUUGACGGUACCUAAUCAGAAAGCCACGGCUAACUACGUG